GUCGCGUCUACAUCGCUUUCAGUGCUGCUACAAGUACAAUCCACCCGUUUUCCGUUCGAGCAAGACUCUGUAAUGUUGUAAACAGUUCGAAGAGUGUUCGGUGGUUGCUGUCGUCAUUCGAAUCGUGAUUGUGAGAAAGUGUUAAACAGAAAUUUGCUCUGUAAGUCUAACAUAAUAUAUAAUAUCUGCAAGGGGAAAAAAAUAAGGAACAUGUAGAUUUGUUUUCCAGUAUUAAUGAUUAGGUAGCAUUGUUGAUAUACAUCAGCAGAAGGCUAAACGCUAAUGGAAAAACGUUAUACAAGAUAAUUUCUGCUGUCUGAAUUGAACCAGUUUCACCCAAUUUACUGAUCUCUGAACUAAAGUACUUUUUUUUCUGUCACAGUAGUGUAAAGCUCCAUAAGAGACUGCUUGAAGUCUGUGCCGUGUAGCUCUACCUCGAUAUAUUACAUGAGAGUAAACUGUUUUUUGUAUGGUUAGAUGACGUUUAUGUUGGCCACAUUUUUACUCUUUUUAGAAGAAGAAGCUUUUGCAAGGCUAAAAUAAAUGCAGAAAAAGUCACAGUGAAGUGACCUAUAGGUGACAUUGAAAAUCCGAAGGUUAUACCGUAUACGGUACGGUCAGCAAACUAAAUUGAAUAUUCGGAGGAUACACCGUAUUGAUACAAACAGGAGGAUAGAUUAAAUACUAGAAAGAUACAUCAUAGUGGUACAAGCAGCAGGGUAAAACAAAUACUCGGUAGAUGCACCGCGGAGAUACGAUAAGAUGGGUAAACUGAAUACUCGUAAGAUACAUCACAGUUAUAUGAUCAUCAGGGUAAAGUGAAUACUCGUAAGAUACACCACAGUUAUAUGAUCAUCAGGGUAAAGUGAAUACUCAGAAGAUACGUCGUGGUGAUACGAUCAACAGAGUAGGGUAAACUGAGUACUUAGAAGAUACAAUGCGAUGAUACGACCAGCAGGGUAAAGUGAAUACGCGAAGGAUACAUAAUUGCUAAGUUACCAGCAGAAGGAUAAAUUGUAUCUGAAUAUCUGAAAACGUUUUCCCCUUGACAACAACUCUGAGUAAUCAGGGGUCUCCUUUUUGCAUUUUCCUUUUGGGAGAAGAUUUGUAAAGUUGGCGCCAUCAUGUUGGAGCAAGAAACUACAGUUAAGUGGCAAGAACGAUGUCAUGAACUGGAAUACUCAUUACAACGAUUUCGUGAACAAGCAACAAGGAUACGGAGACUGCUUAAAGAAAAGCUUGAAGAGCUUGAACACCGAGUGGAAGAUGCAGAGAGAAGAGCCACACUUUCUGAGGAAAGGGUACGUGCAGAAUUGUUUGAUCAGAAAGUUGUAUAAUUUAUCAUUUUUUCUACUUUUAUGGGCACAAUAG